GACGAACGCUGGCGGCGUGCUUAACACAUGCAAGUCGAACGCUGAAGCUCAGCUUUUGUUGGGUGGAUGAGUGGCGAACGGGUGAGUAACACGUGAGUAACCUGCCCCCUUCUUUGGGAUAACGCCCGGAAACGGGUGCUAAUACUGGAUAUUCACUGGUCUUCGCAUGGGGGUUGGUGGAAAGGGUUUUUCUGGUGGGGGAUGGGCUCGCGGCCUAUCAGCUUGUUGGUGGGGUGAUGGCCUACCAAGGCUUUGACGGGUAGCCGGCCUGAGAGGGUGACCGGUCACAUUGGGACUGAGAUACGGCCCAGACUCCUACGGGAGGCAGCAGUGGGGAAUAUUGCACAAUGGGCGCAAGCCUGAUGCAGCGACGCCGCGUGAGGUAUGGAGGCCUUCGGGUUGUGAACCUCUUUCGCUCAUGGUCAAGCCGCAACAAUGGUUGUGGUGAGGGUAGUGGGUAAAGAAGCGCCGGCUAACUACGUG
rnacentral:rRNA from 1 species